GCCUGCGUGGCUCAGUUGGUAAAGCAUCUGCCUUUGAUUCAGGUCAUGAUCCCAGAGCCGUGGGAUCAAGUCUCACAUCAGGCU
rnacentral:tRNA from 1 species